GCUGCAUGGUUGUCGUCAGCUCGUGCCGUGAGGUGUCGGGUUAAGUCCCAUAACGAGCGCAACCCCUACCUUUAGUUGCCAUCAGGUAAUGCUGGGGACUCUAAAGGAACUGCCUACGCAAGUAGUGAGGAAGGCGGGGAUGACGUCAAAUCAGCACGGCCCUUACGUCCAGGGCUACACACGUGCUACAAUGGCCGAUACAGAGGGCAGCUACCUGGUGACAGGAUGCAAAUCUCCAAAGUCGGUCUCAGUUCGGAUCGGAGUCUGCAACCCGACUCCGUGAAGUUGGAUUCGCUAGUAAUCGCGCAUCAGCCAUGGCGCGGUGAAUACGUUCCCGGGCCUU
rnacentral:rRNA from 1 species